rnacentral:rRNA from 1 species
GAUGAACGCUGGCGGCGUGCCUAAUACAUGCAAGUUGAGCGAACGGACGAGAAGCUUGCUUCUCUGAUGUUAGCGGCGGACGGGCGAGUAACACGUGGAUAACCUACCUAUAAGACUGGGAUAACUUCGGGAAACCGUAGCUAAUACCGGAUAAUAUUUUGAACCGCAUGGUUCAAAAGUGAAAGACGGUCUUGCUGUCACUUAUAGAUGGAUCCGCGCUGCAUUAGCUAGUUGGUAAGGUAACGGCUUACCAAGGCAACGAUGCAUAGCCGACCUGAGAGGGUGAUCGGCCACACUGGAACUGAGACACGGUCCAGACUCCUACGGGAGGCAGCAGUAGGGAAUCUUCCGCAAUGGGCGAAAGCCUGACGGAGCAACGCCGCGUGAGUGAUGAAGGUCUUCGGAUCGUAAAACUCUGUUAUUAGGGAAGAACAUAUGUGUAAGUAACUGUGCACAUCUUGACGGUACCUAAUCAGAAAGCCACGGCUAACUACGUG